rnacentral:rRNA from 1 species
UACGUGAAAGACUAGUGUUAUUCAUCUUUAUUAGGUUUUAAAAGGGUACCUAGACUGUAAAAUUUAGCCUUAAAAAAGGAACAAAUUUUACUAGAGUUUUUAUGUGAGAAAAGUAGAAUUUAUGGAGUAGAGAUAAAAAUUCGCUAAAAACCAAAAAGACUGAUAACGGUGAAGACAACUUUCUAAGUAAAAACUGACGUUGAGGGACGAAGGCUUGGGUAGCGAUUAGG